UGCAGAUGGCGAGUCUUGCUCUGAUCUCCACACAUUCAGUUGUUUCUCCUGGAGAAAACGUCCAGUUCAGAUGCUCAACACCUAAACCGAGAUGCAGUGCUAAUGCUGAAUUCCAGCUCUUCAUAAAUGGAUCAUCUUUAUCCUCACAGACACAUGUGUCAAAUGUGACUUUCAGCCUUAAUGUCGACGUCUCGCAUCAGGGUGAAUACAGCUGUCAAUACUCUUACCAGAGGAGCCUUAAAUCAACAUUGAGUAGCACUGUGACCAUCACUGUGGUGCACUUGCAGCAGCCCAGUAUUUCUCCCAGUACUCCUGAUGGAGGGUUUGUCGUGGGCCCUCAGGGGCCAGUGAUCACCAGAGGCCACAGUUUCACUAUCACCUGUUCCAUUAAUUCUUAGUAUCCUGGAGGCUCUUUCUUCCUGUUCAGAGAAUCAAAUAUUCACAGGAUUCAACGGUCUGUCAGUAUCUCUGCCUCCUUCUCCUUUCCUGAGGCAGAUUAUUCAGAUGAGGGAAUCUACAGUUGUGUUUAUGAAGUCAGUGUCUCCUCACGCUCCUUCCGUUCCUCUGCCUCUGAACUGCUGCUCAUCACUAUCACAGCGUCUCUGCUGUCUGCUGUCAUUGGUGCUGCACUUUCAGCUGGACUGCUCUUACUGACCGUCCUCAUCAUCGUCCUGUUUCUUAAGAGGAGACAGAAGAAGAA